GGCCCCUUGUUAUUAAUUUUAAAUAUAAGGGGUCUUACCUGCUCAAUGACUUAGUGUUAAAUAGCCGCGGUACUCUGACCGUGCAAAGGUAGCGUAAUCAUUUGCCUUUUAAUUGGUGGCUUGUAUCAAAGGUGUGAUGAAAGUAAAUCUGUCUCUUAUUUUAUUUUAUUGAAAUUACCUUUUAGGUGAAAAGGCCUAAAUUGGACUAUUAGACAAAAAGACCCUAUCGAAGUUUAGGUUAAUAGGAUUUUUGGGAGUAUUCCAAAAUAUCUUUUCUCCUUUAGUUGGGGCAACUAAGGAACAGAUAAAGCUUCUUAAUUUUUUGUUUUUGCUGGCAGGUUUUGAUCCAUUUAUUUUAUUUGAUUGGUGAAAAAAGUUACCGUAGGGAUAACAGCGUAAUUUCUCUUGUGAGACCUAAUUAAAAGGGGAGUUUGCGACCUCGAUGUUGGAUUAAGAUGUCCUGGGGGUGCAGUAGCUUCCGAGGGUUGGUUUGUUCAACCAUUAAAAUCUUACA
rnacentral:rRNA from 1 species